AAGAGAUCUAUAGAUUUGAUGAAUAUUAAACGAUUAUUCACUUGAGAUAUUGUGAAUGUGUAACUCAUAGUCAUGACUUUUUAUAUUCCUAAAUUUGCCUGUGAUUUUAUUUAUUUAGAAAAAAGAAAGUGAAUGCCUACAAUUAAAAAUUUUGGUGCUUCGAAAUGAACUGGAAAGACAGAAGAAAGCUUUGGGACGGGAGGUGGCAUUACUGCAUAAGCAACAAAUUGUGUUACAGGAUAAAGAUUUGAAGGGAGAGCCAAGGGUCAUCAGAUACUUGAACUGUACAAAUAGAAUAGCUGACCCAAAAGGAACAAAGAACAGAGGAGUUUUUAUAAAAGAUUUGACUCUGCAUGGAAUAUAGAAAACUGGUAAGAGUUUUAUGUCUACCCUAAAGAAGAAGCUACAUAACCUACAAAAUCAUAACUUUCCUUGAGUUCAUCAGAGAGCUAGUAUUUUAGGCCAUCCAAAUAUCCUGAUCUGUAAGGAAAACAGGUACUGACAGAGGAGAGAGAGAGGAGUUGUGAGUACUGAUCACCACUGGCAGAGAAUGGGAAGAAGUUGGUGCUGCUAUAUAAGAAGGUAAAAUAAUUCAGCUAAGACUUUUGUUUUGUUUGGUACUGGGGAUCAAACUCGGGUCCUUGCUCUUGUGAGGCAGGUGGCUGAACCACUGAGCUAAAUCCCCAGCCCAGCUAAGGCUUUUAACAAAUAAUUAAUGGUCAAGUAUGAGCUACUGUGAAACCAUAGCAAUCAUAAGAAUAAUAUUGCAGAUUUCUGUGGUGGUGGAAGAAUUCAU
rnacentral:lncRNA from 1 species